rnacentral:lncRNA from 10 species
AGGAUCACCUGGUCCUAUUGUUAAAAGAGAGAUUCUUGGUUUCCACUGCAGCAGGUGUUGAAUCAGAAUGGGGUUCAGGUUGUUGUAUUGUCAACAAGCUCGGCAUGUCCCACCAAGUUGAAUGCCCGCUGUUUGAGGAUUAUGGCCAUGGCAAUGAUUGAAAAUAGCAUUCCAGCCUCCACCAGAACAACAAAUCGAGGUUGCCAGAGGCUCUGGAGUUUGCAUUCAGCAGCGUCUCUGGUGACUCUUCAGAACGUUGCACUGGGCAGUGGCAGUGCAGGAAAGGGGAGACUGACUCCGGCAACGCCCACCUUCCAGGUGCCUCACAGAGCCUGCUGAACCUGAUCACCUGUCUUCAGUGGAGAAACAGGACAGCGGUACUGAGACAGGGAUCAGGAAACAGGGAGCCCCCAUAGACCUCUGUGGCAGCAGCACGCAGAAUGUGGACAGUCUCGACUUCCUUGGGGCAGGUUAGAGGGAACCCAGUGGGGACUGCAAUGGAGGAUCCAGCACUUCAGUAAGGUCUGGGAUUUAGCAACCUGCUGAGUGACCAGGACUGUACGUGUGUCCACCAAGGGAACGUGAGGAGGCCACACGUACAGCUCACCAAACACAUCAGCCGUGGCUGGGACAGAGUCUUCUUGGGUACCGCAGCCUUGUGAAGAAGGUGACUGCUUCCCCUCCUGCCAUGAUUGCAAGUUUCCUGAGGCCUCCCAAGCCAUGCAGAACUGUGAGU